AAGAAGCUCAAAUUAAACAUAAUUUGCAAAAAAGGAAGUGUAAACAUUAGACGACUAUGUACAGGAAGUGUUUAGGAAGAUAAUGUAAAUCACAUGCAGGGCUGUGUCUUGGGCAGCAUAAAGAAAGUGAUUGAACGUCUAAAUGGCAGGUUAUUGAGUGAUGAGACUUUAUGGGCAUUAUCUUUACACCAAAGCUGCUUCAUUAGGCUAAAGUUGUGUGACUACUGUGUCCCUUUAAUUACCAUGUUGCCCUCUUGCUGUACCCUCCCCAGUGCCCUAUAUUUCUACAGAGCCGGUUUCCCUCUUAUUGUAAACACUAGCUCACUAUGUUACUAACCCAUUACUCUCUGUCCCCACUCCCAGAUAGGACUACAAACCACAUUUACCUCUUCCAAUAACCUCCCAGCCAGUCUCCUAUGUUAUUACCCUCCCAGCCAGUCUCCCUCUUAGCACUGUUCCCAUUACUCAGCCCAAGGGCCUGGUUUAGUGCUGUGUGAAUGUAGAGAAAGGACCCCAUGUAUUACGGUAUUGAACCGGUUAUUGUGGGAGAGCGUCUCAGAGAGCACAUGGCAGUUACUGUGUCUAUGUGAAUGUGUCGUUUUUUCCUACUCUGCCGCUCACUGGGUAGAAAGCUUUUGUUGAGGUGAUGCCUCCUUACAUUUUUGGGGUUCCUGCACCCACCUAAGGCAUAUGUUACUGCCUGCCAGAAUAUAAACCGCUAGAAAACACAGAAAACCACGGCAGUAAUCAUUACUCGGCAGGAUUAUUG